ACGUACACUCCUACGGGAGGCAGCAGUGAGGAAUAUUGGACAAUGGGUGGAAGCCUGAUCCAGCCAUCCCGCGUGCAGGAAGACGGCCCUAUGGGUUGUAAACUGCUUUUAUCUGGGGAUAAACCUACUUACGUGUAAGUAGCUGAAGGUACCAGAAGAAUAAGCACCGGCUAACUCCGUGCCAGCAGCCGCGGUAAUACGGAGGGUGCAAGCGUUAUCCGGAUUUAUUGGGUUUAAAGGGUCCGUAGGCGGACUGAUAAGUCAGUGGUGAAAUCCGACAGCUUAACUGUCGAACUGCCAUUGAUACUGUUAGUCUUGAGUAAGGUUGAAGUGGCUGGAAUAAGUAGUGUAGCGGUGAAAUGCAUAGAUAUUACUUAGAACACCAAUUGCGAAGGCAGGUCACUAAGUCUUAACUGACGCUGAUGGACGAAAGCGUGGGGAGCGAACAGGAUUAGAAACCCGGGUAGUCCCA
rnacentral:rRNA from 1 species